GUGCUCCCUUCAGCAGCAUGGAUGCCACAACUGAAACAACACAGAGAAGAUAAACCCGGCCCCUGUGCGAGGCUGACACAAAUUCAUCCAGUGUUCCAUAAUAUUUUG